UUGCAUUUAGAAGAGAUUGGAGCACAAUUAAUUUAAAAACAGCCGAAGCAGUACAACAGAAAUGACACAGCAAGCUUUCCAGGACACACUCAGGAAGUAAGAGAAAAAGAACAGGGUACAUGGAAAGGAAUUAGAGCCAGCUGAAUGCAAUAAGGAACAAGGAAGGAAGACGCUCAGUAAGAGGAAAAUAUGGGAAGAAUGUCUCUCUAGGAGACACUUAGUUAGGUUAACUAAAGGGCACUGAACAAGUAAAGCUGUGCUGAAAAGAACAGUGGCCAAGGCAGGGAUAUUCUUAUACCACAAACAGUCAUGCAGAUGGAAGUCUGGCCAACAAAACCAUAAAGCAUCAUGUCUCACUGUGACUCAAUCUGUCAGCUCAAGUACAAGCCUUGAGUACACAAGUUCUUCUGCAUUCCCAAAUGCUUCCUUCUUUUGUCUCCAGUUAAAGACAUUUACCACUUUCUGGGAAGGAUUUCAACUUCAACUUUUCAUGAAAUACGAUGAGAGAUCGACUCAUGAUGGACUCAUCAGAAAUAAUUGGAGGUGGGAGGGAACAAUGUCAUCACUGACAGACUGUGCAACAACAAUUACUUGGAGCAACAGAGAGCAACGGGACAGCAGAGACCAUAUCUCCAACCAUUGAUUGUCCUUCAUUGGAAAUGUUCCCGAUUGCAUGUCUGUUAAAUAAAAUAUCACAUUGGACCCCUAUAUUGAUGCCAUUUUGCAGAUUGAGACAGUAGGAUGUGAACAGUAGAAUCUCCCAGCUAUACUUAGGAGUCAAAGAAUAUAUUGAAACAAAAAACCCAGGCAGAGGCAAAACAGAUGAGGACUAACUAGUUCCUGUGCUUUGGAAAAGAUGCAAUUGGGUAAACCAGGAAGUAAGAGUAACUGGACCACUGCCCCUACCUCAUAGUAGUUGGAAAGGGAAAAAUUGUACUUACCAUAUAGAGAAAAAUUUGAAAUCUUGGUAGCUUAAGUGAUCAUUUCACUCAGAAACAAAUGUGAAAAUGUCUUGAUGAAAGCUCAGCUGCUUUGCAAAUGUACAAUGAAGGCAAAUUUAACUGUCUGGGAUUGAACGAAGCCACAGUGAAAUGAUGAGAGUGGUUGCAGGAUUUUAGGAAUUUUUGUAUUUGGAUAAAGGAGAAGAUCAACCUGUCCUGUGUUCCCCGCGUGGCUACUGUGGGCUUUGAAGAAGUUAAUGUAGAGAAAGCCUGCUCUUAUGGUGUCUCGUUUGGUUAUCAAUGAAGACUGCAUCUGGACUAGGGAUGGAGGAUCAGCUAUUCCUCUGUAUCAGAUGGUGACUUCGUGUAGGAAUACUCUGCUGACCCUGGAGAAUGUUAUGUACACAGAGAUGGAUCAGUUCCCAAGGGAACCCAGGCCAGCAAUGAGAGUGGUGGCCUCAAAACCAUGGUACUCCUGCACAUGUUUGGCUGAGCUUCAGAUUGUUUUGUGAGUGUGCUGGCAGUGCAAGGGAGGAUGAUGGAGUUAUGAAAUGUAGAAUAUAUGGCCCAGGCCCAAUGGGGCAGCUGGGGUUAACUUUGGCUCAGCAGCUUGGCUCUGCCUUUAAUAUAUUGUCUUUCCUUAACUGCCUGGACUCAGCAUGUUGGGGGGAUGAUGCAAGGCAUUGUCCCAUUGCAUUGCAAAACUAUGGUGUAGACUCAAAAGAGCUCCUCUGACUAAACCUAGAACCUGUAACUCAUGUGAAGCUUCCUUGUCACCAGGCAUAUCAGCAUUUGAAACUGGGUGACCACGUUGCCUGGACUUACAAUUGUUACCAUGGAGAUGAGAAUGUGAAAACUUACAGCAUAGAGCUGACAGCGAAUAAUGUUAAUAUUGAAAUACGGAAGGCCUUGGGGUUGAUUGAAUCACUACAGAACUGGUGGGAUCAUCUUGAUAAUUGAGAGAAAAAAAUGGUUGGCUGAAAGCAAGCAGAGAAGGAUGUGUUGUCUUUCGUUGCUCUUGACUUCAGAUUGUGAGGGAUAUAAGAAGACGCCUUACCAAUGUGAUCUUUGGAAGGAAAUCGAUGCUGUAUUAGAUUUCAAUACACUGACAUUCCUUGACAGAUGCUGUUAAUAGAUUGAAAAGACAAGGACAGGAUUCAGUUUGAAAGAGAGCUAAAGAAAUAAAGAAACCUGCAACCCUGGAGACCUAUCUAUCUACUAGCUAUGACACAGGAGCUGCUUGUUGAGUAGUGGAAGGUUCUUGCCAUCUGUUCCAGAAUUCCUUCCUGGU
rnacentral:lncRNA from 1 species